rnacentral:rRNA from 1 species
GAUGAACGCUGGCGGCGUGCUUAACACAUGCAAGUCGAACGAUGAAGCCGGAGCUUGCUCUGGUGAAUUAGUGGCGAACGGGUGAGUAACACGUGAGUAACCUGCCCUUGACUCUGGGAUAACUGCUAGAAAUGGUAGCUAAUACCGGAUACGACCCGCGGAGGCAUCUUCAGGGGGGGGAAAGAAUUUCGGUCAAGGAUGGACUCGCGGCCUAUCAGCUAGUUGGGAGGGUAAUGGCUCACCAAGGCGACGACGGGUAGCCGGCCUGAGAGGGUGACCGGCCACACUGGGACUGAGACACGGCCCAGACUCCUACGGGAGGCAGCAGUGGGGAAUAUUGCACAAUGGGCGCAAGCCUGAUGCAGCAACGCCGCGUGAGGGAUGACGGCCUUCGGGUUGUAAACCUCUUUUAGUAGGGAAGAAGCGAAAGUGACGGUACCUGCAGAAAAAGCACCGGCUAACUACGUGCCAGCAGCCGCAGUAA